GAUGAACGCUAGCGGGAGGCCUAACACAUGCAAGCCGAGCGGUAUUGUUUCUUCGGAAAUGAGAGAGCGGCGUACGGGUGCGUAACACGUGUGCAACCUGCCUUUAUCUGGGGGAUAGCCUUUCGAAGGGAAGAUUAAUACUCCAUAAUAUAUUGAACGGCAUCGUUUAAUAUUGAAAGCUCCGGCGGAUAGAGAUGGGCACGCGCAAGAUUAGCUAGUUGGUGAGGUAACGGCUCACCAAGGCGAUGAUCUUUAGGGGGCCUGAGAGGGUGAUCCCCCACACUGGUACUGAGACACGGACCAGACUCCUACGGGAGGCAGCAGUGAGGAAUAUUGGUCACUGGGUGCAAGCCUGAACCAGCCAUCCCGCGUGAAGGACGACUGCCCUAUGGGUUGUAAACUUCUUUUGUAUAGGGAUAAACCUACCCUCGAGAGGGUAGCUGAAGGUACUAUACGAAUAAGCACCGGCUAACUCCGUG
rnacentral:rRNA from 1 species